rnacentral:rRNA from 1 species
GACAGAGGCCACGAACGUUGUUCGGAAUUACUGGGCAUAAAGCGCACGUAGGCGGCUAGGUCCGUCCGAUGUGAAAGCCCCCGGCUCAACCGGGGAAUUGCAUCGGAUACAGCCUGGCUCGAGGACGGUUGGGGUGAGUGGAACUCCUGGUGGAGCGGUGAAAUGCGUAGAUAUCUGGAGGAACACCGGUGGCGAAGGCGGCCCUCUGGACGGUGACUGACGCUGAGACGCGAAAGCGUGGGGAGCAAACAGG